rnacentral:rRNA from 1 species
GACGAACGCUGGCGGCAUACCUAACACAUGCAAGUCGAACGGUAAGGCCCCUUCGGGGGUACACGAGUGGCGAACGGGUGAGUAACACGUGAGUAACCUGCCCUUCACUGGGGGACAACCGAGGGAAACUUCGGCUAAUACCGCAUGAUGUGCGCUGUCACAAGACGGCGUACCAAAACUCCGGUGGUGAAGGAGGGGCUCGCGCCAGAUUAGCUUGUUGGGGGGGUAAAGGCCUACCAAGGCGACGAUAUGUAGCUGGUCUGAGAGGACGAGCAGCCACACUGGAACUGAGACACGGUCCAGACUCCUACGGGAGGCAGCAGUGGGGAAUAUUGCACAAUGGGCGCAAGCCUGAUGCAGCGACGCCGCGUGAGGGAUGACGGCCUUCGGGUUGUAAACCUCUUUCACCAGGGACGAAGCGGAAGUGACGGUACCUGGAGAAGAAGCACCGGCCAACUACGUGCCAGCCGCCGCCGUAACAC